GACGAACGCUGGCGGCGUGCUUAACACAUGCAAGUCGAACGCUGAAGCUCAGCUUUUGUUGGGGGGAUGAGUGGCGAACGGGUGAGUAACACGUGAGUAACCUGCCCCCUUCUUUGGGAUAACGCCCGGAAACGGGUGCUAAUACUGGAUAUUCACUGGUCUUCGCAUGGGGGUUGGUGGAAAGGGUUUUUCUGGUGGGGGAUGGGCUCGCGGCCUAUCAGCUUGUUGGUGGGGUGAUGGCCUACCAAGGCUUUGACGGGUAGCCGGCCUGAGAGGGUGACCGGUCACAUUGGGACUGAGAUACGGCCCAGACUACUACGGGAGGCAGCAGUGGGGAAUAUUGCACAAUGGGCGCAAGCCUGAUGCAGCGACGCCGCGUGAGGGAUGGAGGCCUUCGGGUUGUGAACCUCUUUCGCUCAUGGUCAAGCCGCAACAAUGGUUGUGGUGAGGGUAGUGGGUAAAGAAGCGCCGGCUAACUACGUG
rnacentral:rRNA from 1 species